rnacentral:rRNA from 1 species
ACAUGCAGUCGACGGGCUCUUCGGAGUAGUGGCGGACGGGUGAGUAACGCGUGAGAAUCUGCCUUCAGAAUGGGGACAACAGAUGGAAACCGCUGCUAAUACCCGAUGUGCCGUAAGGUGAAAGAUUUAUCGUCUAUAGAUGAGCUCGCGUCCCAUUAUCUAGUUGGUGUAGGUAAAAGCCCACCAAGGCGACGAUCUGUAACUGGUCUGAGAGGAUGACCAGCCACACUGGGACUGAGACACGGCCCACACUCCUACGGGAGGCAGCAGUGGGGAAUUUUCCGCAAUGGGCGAAAGCCUGACGGAGCAAUACCGCGUGUGGGAGGAAGGUUCUUGGGUUGUAAACCUCUUUUCUCUGGGAAGAAAAAAUGACAGUACCAGAGAAUCAGCAUCGGCUAACUCCGUGCCAGCAGCCGCGGUAAUACGGAGGAUGCAAGCGUUAUCCGGAAUUAUUGGGCGUAAAGCGUCCGUAGGUGGCUUAUCAAGUCUGUUGUCAAAACCUGUGGCUUAACCCCUGACAGGCGAUGGAAACUGAGUAGCUAGAGUGUGAUAUGGGUCUAGGGAAUUCCCAGUGUAGCGGUGAAAUGCGUAUAUAUCGGGAAGAACACCAGUGGCGAAAGCGCUCGACUGGGUCUGCACUGACACUCACGGACGAAAGCUAUGGGAGCGAAAAGGAUUAUAUACCCCUGUAGUCCUAGCUGUAAACGAUGACAACUAAGUGUGGUUCAUAUCGACCCCAGC